GACCUCGAUUCCACAGGAAGUGGGGGCGCCGCAGUUUGGGGGAGGAGCCCGGGGUUGCUAUGGAGUUCCCUGAGCCCCCUUGGAGCACUUUCCGGGUCCGUGUUGAAGUGCAAAAGCAAAUGGAGCGUUUCUGGAGACUUGAGCUAAGCUCAAGUUGACGAGGGAAAGAGGACUGGGAGCUCUCGAUGGGGCAGGUUGUGCAGUGUUCUUUGUUGCCCUGUCUUGGGAUGACAGAUUGGGAAGAAAGCAUCUUUUGAAACUGAUUUCCAAAUUGCUCAGGAUCUUUCUGCCAAGAGCUUAAAAGUAGUGGGGUGAGCAGGGAAAGGCAUUUCCUCUCCAAAGACCAAAUCUUGAAAGUCCAUCCUUGCAUCAGCCACAGGAAGGCUCUUUCCAGUCCCACCACACCUGACUUUAGUAGCUUUUCUUUAACAGGGUCUUAGGGAGAAAAUAUGGGUGGGAAGAAAGUGAGAUCUGCAAAGCCGAGCACCAGAAUUGUCCUGCACACAAAUCUACCAGAUUGAGGACAUCAUUUGAAUGCAUUAUCUGGAGAAGCUUGUUUGCUCCGUGAGUCAUAGAAGCUGUUGCAGGAUAAACUUGAAGGAGUUGGGGGACAAUAUGUUGGAUAAACUUUGCUGUGUUACGUGCUUUGAAGAUCAUCCCUGAGCAAGAGCAGGAUAAUGAAUUAGCAGGUACACAGUGAAUCUGCAAGUGAGCAGAAACCUGAAGGAAGCAAGAAAGAAAGCCACGAAGAUACUUUGGGAAGAGUGUUCCAGGCAAAGAGGAGAGCAAGUGCAAAGCCUGGCCAGUCUCCAACCUGCCCCCUGAAGCAUAUAGUCUGAUUUUUUUCUACCGUGGAUUAAUUUCACCUGUUCUAGAACUUCAUCUGAAUGGAAUCAUAGAGUGAGCAUGCGUUCUUUUGGUAAGGCUUUGUUUCCCCAAUAUGUUUUUGAAAUUUAUUCAUGUUCUUGCAUGUAUUAUUAGUCUGUUCUUUUUACUUCUAAAUAAUUAGCAUUCCAAAGUAUGAACAUACAACAAUUAUUUAUCUACUUUCAUUAAUAUUGUUUUUUGAAUUAUUUCCAGUUUCUGUGUUAUUACAUAUAAGUCAUUGUGUUGACAUAUCUUUUCAUUACUCUUGGGUAAAUAUUUAAAAGUGGAAUUUCUGGGUCACAAGGUAAGUGUAUUUUUGACUUUAAAUGGAACAAAACAGCUAGACAGUUUUCUAAAGUAAUUGUACCCUUCUUUAUUUCCUUCAGCAACACAUCAGAGUUCUGGUUUUCCACAUACUCUCCAACAUUUGGUGUUGUCAGCCUUUUAUCUUUUUAGGCAUUCUAGUGGAUGUAUAGAACUCUCAUUAGAGUUUUAAUGUGCAUUUUUCUGACACUUAAUGGUGUUGAAUAUUUUUCAUGUGCUCAUUGGCCAUUUUUAUAUCUUUCUUUGUAGAGUCUAUCCAAGUAAGUUGCCAAAUUAUAUUAUUAGUUUGUAGGAAGUCUUUAUGUAUUCUGCAUACAAGAAGGUAAGGACUUUCAAUUUUAUUGCUUUUUUAAUGUGAAGGGAAGCCACCGGAAGGUUUUGAGCAUGGAAUAAUGCAAAACCAGGGGAAUCGUUAUAUGAUUUUGCAUUGCACAACUUCAGGGGCUGCCAUUCCCACUUGUAGCCAUCAUAGAUAUGUAUAUUUGUUACAGUUUUCCAUCAGAUGUCAGUAAAUGUCUUCAGGAAGAGACAGCUUUUUAAAACUCAUUCAAAAACACUAUUUGAGUUAGUAGUGGAUCACUGCCAUGAACUUUUACUAGGAUUAUUCUGUAUUUUGUGUGAAAACUGGAGUGCCACAAGGCAAGGUUAAGAUGUUUUCCAAGCAGAAGUUUGAAAUGAUCACUUCUUUUAAGCUGCAUGAGGUAGGAGAGAGAAAGACAAUGCAAAGCAGUAACAGUUUCCAAACAGAAUUCAGAGGAGAUAUGGACCCAGGAUAUAUUGGGGUAGAAGAUGAAACUUUUCCGCCUUUCCAGUCUCUUUAACUAGUGUAAGUUUCUCAAAGUAAGAAGUGGCCCCAGAAUAUAGAUAAAAUCAAAGGCAAGACUGUAAAACCCUUUCUUAAAAUGCUUUGAAACAUGUAAGAUGAUACUCACUUGACUCUCUUAGCUAAGCCAAAGAGAGGCUAAGAAUCACAAAGGCAUUGUCUUGACUUGCUGCUCCAAGCAGGGGGCAGCCUGUCUGAAAAGGGAUGGUGGGAAUGGAUUGUAUCUUUUGGAAUGAACUAUAAUCUGAUACAUAGAAAGCCUACAAUGUCUUUAAGGAAGUGCUGCUAUGAGAUUAUACUAAGAAGGGUCUAAGACGAUGGAAAAUGAAACAGAUCUCUGAGACCCUGAGUUCCUACAGGCUGGAAGUACGCUGAAAAAACUACUCAGCUACAAACACAGCCAUUUCUUACGAAAAAAGAAAGAUAUCUAGAUGGUAGUGUCAACACCCAGAGAGAAAGACCAAGAGAUGAGAAGAAUGGGUUAAGGAACUCUUCUCAGGGAUUAGCACUGGGCCCUAAUCAAGGAACAUUCUCUACUGUUGUAGAAGGUGGAAUUAACAGGUACAUAUUUGGGGGUGAGAAUUGCCACAGACCAAAAGCUCCGUGAGUUUCUUGUCCUUUGCCUCUCUUUAUGAGAGUAUCUAUGGUCAGUAUCCUACUGCUAUUCAACAUUCUAUCUUGUAUGUGUGGGAAGGGAGAAGGUCAUUGUAGUUCACAGGUCCCUGUAUGAAAAGGAGCAGUACUGGAGGAGCUGCACUUGACAGACUACAACCAAGGCGCUUCAUCGAGAUCUGGACCAGAUUUAUGUGAGGAGAUCAUGGACAUUAAGCCUGAUGCUCUGAUUGGAUGAAAUUUUGGGAUAUGAAAAAGGAAAGCAGAGUCACUCCCCUCUCUUGAAUCUGGAAUGGCCCUUGCCAGUGGUGACUUGCUUUGAUCAACAAAAUGUGGCAGGAGUGAUGGUGUGUAACUUCUGAGGCCUGGCAGAAUACCAGAAAGUGAUAUUAUGCAACUUCCACCUUUAAUCUUUUGAAACUCUUCUGAGACUUCCCAGGAAGAAAGAAAACAUGGAGGAAAAGGCUGAGCCAUCAGCCAGCACCAACUGUCAUACUUAGGAGUAAAGCUGUCUUGGGACUCCCAGCUCAGCCUGGACAAAACUCAGACAAUUCACAGAAAUUUGCAAAAUAAUAUAUUGUUAUUAUUUUAAGCCUCUAAA